AUUGAACGCUGGCGGCAGGCCUAACACAUGCAAGUCGAGCGGAGCGGCGGACGGGUGAGUAAUGCCUAGGAAUCUGCCUGGUAGUGGGGGAUAACGUCCGGAAACGGGCGAUAAUACCGCAUACUAUCAGAUGAGCCUAGGUCGGAUUUGCUAGUUGGUGGGGUAAAGGCCUACCAAGGGGCCUAUCCGUAACUGGUCUGAGAGGAUGAUCAGUCAAACUGGAACUGAGACACGGUCCAGACUCCGACGGGAGCUAGCAGUGGGGAAUAUUGGACAAUGGGCUAAAGCCUGAUCCAGCCAUGCCGCGUGUGUGAAGAAGGUCUUCGGAUUGUAAAGCACUUUAAGUUGGGAGGCGUUACCAACAGAAUAAGCACCGGCUAACUGCGUGCCAGCAGCCGCGGUAAUUC
rnacentral:rRNA from 1 species